rnacentral:rRNA from 1 species
GUGAACGCUGGCGGUAGGCCUAACACAUGCAAGUCGAACGGCAGCACAGUAAGAGCUUGCUCUUACGGGUGGCGAGUGGCGGACGGGUGAGGAAUACAUCGGAAUCUACUUUUUCGUGGGGGAUAACGUAGGGAAACUUACGCUAAUACCGCAUACGACCUACGGGUGAAAGCCGAGGAUCUUCGGACCUUGCGCGAUUGAAUGAGCCGAUGUCGGAUUAGCUAGUUGGCGGGGUAAAGGCCCACCAAGGCGACGAUCCGUAGCUGGUCUGAGAGGAUGAUCAGCCACACUGGAACUGAGACACGGUCCAGACUCCUACGGGAGGCAGCAGUGGGGAAUAUUGGACAAUGGGCGCAAGCCUGAUCCAGCCAUACCGCGUGGGUGAAGAAGGCCUUCGGGUUGUAAAGCCCUUUUGUUGGAAAAGAAAAGCAGCAGGUUAAUACCCCGCUGUUCUGACGGUACCCAAAGAAUAAGCACCGGCUAACUUCGUG